GACGAACGCUGGCGGCGUGCUUAACACAUGCAAGUCGAACGGUGAAGGGGUCUGCUUUUGUGGGCCCUGGAUGAGUGGCGAACGGGUGAGUAACACGUGAGUAACCUGCCCCCUUCUUCUGGAUAACCGCAUGAAAGUGUGGCUAAUACGGGAUAUUCUGGGUCUGUCGCAUGAUGGGUCUGGGAAAGAUUGCGCCUUUGGGUGUUUUUGGUGGGGGAUGGGCUCGCGGCCUAUCAGCUUGUUGGUGGGGUGAUGGCCUACCAAGGCGGUGACGGGGAGCCGGCCUGAGAGGGUGGACGGUCACACUGGGACUGAGACACGGCCCAGACUCCUACGGGAGGCAGCAGUGGGGAAUAUUGCACAAUGGGCGCAAGCCUGAUGCAGCGACGCCGCGUGAGGGAUGGAGGCCUUCGGGUUGUAAACCUCUUUCGCCAGUGAAGCAGGCCUGCUCCUUGUGGGUGGGUUGACGGUAGCUGGAUAAGAAGCGCCGGCUAACUACGUG
rnacentral:rRNA from 1 species